CCUGGCGACCAUAGCGCUGUGGUACCACCCGUUCCCAUCCCGAACACGGAAGUGAAACGCUGCAGCGCCGAUGGUAGUGUGGCCUAAGCCAUGCGAGAGUAGGUCAUCGCCAGGA
rfam:Beta vulgaris subsp. vulgaris contig142655.1, whole genome shotgun sequence.